AUGCCUGACAAACCGGCCCCAGUUCUAGCGAUGGGCUACAUGCAUGACCAUCUUCCACCUCCGCACCCAACCAAGGCCAAGGCGACCGAGCAGUCCACCUCCGCCGCCGUCGCCGGCGAAUUUGACCCCACCGAGCCAUGGUACGCGCGGGUGUGCACCCUGACGCGCCUCCGAAGGCACCGGGAGGCCCUUGCGGUCCUACGCCAUGCCGACCCUUCGCCGCCGCCGCACGCCAUGGCGCUGCCAUCCGCGGCCAUCUGCUGCGCGGCGCUCUCCCUCCCCUCCGGCGUCGCGCAGGUACACGCGCUCGCUGCCAAGCGCGGCCUCCUCCCUGCCUCCGACGCGUACCUCCUCUCCGCGCUGCUCUCUUCCUACUCCCGCCUGGGCCUCCUCCGCUGCGCGCGGCGGCUGCUCGACGAAAUGCCCCCUGCGUCCACGCCUCCAGCCACCGUCCUCUCCGCCUUCAACUCCCUCAUCUCCGGAUGCGCGCUCCACGCCCUCACCCCUGCCUGCUUCGCCCUCUUCCGCCGCAUGCGCGUGCACGUGGCCGGCGUCCACUUCGACGCCGUCACGCUCCUGACGCUGCUCCCGGCCGCUCCUACCACCGUCGUGCCGCAGCUCCACGCCCUGGCGGCUCGAACGGGACUCGCCUCCGGGACUACCGUGGCCAACUGCCUCAUAUCUGUGUAUGGCCGCAGCAGCGCCCCUCUUGCUCGGCAGGUUUUUGAGGAGAUGCCGCUGGCCUCCCGUGAUCUUGUCUCAUGGACCGCCGUGCUCUCGGCGCACGCACAGAAUGGUCUCACUGUGGACGCCCUCGAGCUCUACCGCCGCAUGCGUGGCCAUGGUGUGGAACCAGACGCUCUGACGCUCGUGGGCGUGCUCUCCUCCUGCGCACACCUUGACGCGCGUGUUGUUGGCCUGCACGUGGAUCGCUAUGUGCGGGAGAGAAUCCCGGGGUUUCGUGGAAAUGUGCAGCUUUGCAGCGCGCUUAUCAACUUCCAUGCACGCUGCGGCAGCUUGCCCCAGGCGCAGCAGCUGUUCGACGAAAUGCCCAGGAAGAGCAUCGUGUCGUGGACGGCGCUGAUCACCGGAUAUGGCAUGCAUGGACAUGGUGACAUGGCCAUUAAUCUCUUCCAAAGGAUGCUGUCAGAAGGCUUACGGCCAGAUAAUGUCGCAAUGGUCGCGCUCUUGUCGGCGUGCAGCCACGCCGGGAAGUAUGAAGAGGGGUGCAAGUACUUCUUUGCAAUGGAGAGCACCUACAAGCUGCAGCCUACACUGGAGCACUACGCCUGCAUGGUGGACCUUCUUGGACGGGCGGGCCAUCUCGAGGAGGCACGAGAGCUCAUCUCGUCGAUGCCCAUGCCAGCCGACGGUUCUGUGUGGGGUGCCCUUCUUGGGGCGUGCAAGAUACAUAAAAAUGUGGAGACAGGGGAGGAGGCUUUCAAGCAUGUUAUUAUGCUCGAACCAAGCAAUGUGGGCUACUACGUGCUCAUGGCUAACAUGUACACUGACAGUGGACAACAGGAUGGUGUUGCAAGGGUGCGUGCCAUGAUGACAGAGCUUGGGCUGAAGAAGGAGCCCGGUGUAGCUACCUAA
rnacentral:rRNA from 1 species